rnacentral:rRNA from 1 species
GAUGAACGCUGACAGAAUGCUUAACACAUGCAAGUCAACUUGAAUUUGGGUUUUUAACUUAGGUUUGGGUGGCGGACGGGUGAGUAACGCGUAAAGAACUUGCCUCACAGCUAGGGACAACAUUCGGAAACGAAUGCUAAUACCUAAUAUUAUGAUAAUAGGGCAUCCUAUAAUUAUGAAAGCUAUAAGCGCUGUGAGAGAGCUUUGCGUCCCAUUAGCUAGUUGGAGAGGUAACGGCUCACCAAGGCGAUGAUGGGUAGCCGGCCUGAGAGGGUGAUCGGCCACAAGGGGACUGAGACACGGCCCUUACUCCUACGGGAGGCAGCAGUGGGGAAUAUUGGACAAUGGACCAAGAGUCUGAUCCAGCAAUUCUGUGCGCACGAUGAAGUUUUUCGGAAUGUAAAGUGCUUUCAGUUGGGAAGAAAGAAAUGACGGUACCAACAGAAGAAGUGACGGCUAAAUACGUGCCAGCAGCCGCGGUAAUACGUAUGUCACGAGCGUUAUCCGGAUUUAUUGGGCGUAAAGCGCGUCUAGGUGGUUAUGUAAGUCUGAUGUGAAAAUGCAGGGCUCAACUCUGUAUUGCGUUGGAAACUGUAUAACUAGAGUACUGGAGAGGUAAGCGGAACUACAAGUGUAGAGGUGAAAUUCGUAGAUAUUUGUAGGAAUGCCGAUGGGGAAGCCAGCUUACUGGACAGAUACUGACGCUGGAGCGCGAAAGCGUGGGUAGCAAACAGG